CUUCACGAGUUACCGUCGCCAAGCUCCGACUGGGCGGUACGCCAACCCCACGCUCGUGGGUGGCUCGGAUGACGAAGCGGCCAGCACCAACCGGUGCUUGGCAAGAGCGCCUC
rfam:Mycobacterium kyorinense strain E861 contig_24, whole genome shotgun sequence.